UACGUAGGGGGCAAGCGUUGUCCGGAAUUAUUGGGCGUAAAGCGCACGCAGGCGGUCGUGCACGUGGGGUGUGAAAACUGGCGGCUUAACUGCCAGAGGCCACCUCAUACGGCGCGACUCGAGCCAUGCAGAGGUCCACGGAAUUGCCGGUGUAGUGGUGAAAUGCUUAGAUAUGACAUAGAACACCGAUAGCGAAGGCAGCUUGCUACACAAUAAUUGACACUGAGGCACGAAAGCGUGGGGAUCAAACAGG
rnacentral:rRNA from 1 species